rnacentral:rRNA from 1 species
AUGGACAUUUCUGUUGCUCAAUAUGUAGCUUUCUAUGGGGUUAUACUUGUGAUUGGAUGGCUAUUACACUGGGUAUACAGAUGGAUUAACCCAGUUUGCAACGGGGUUCUUCCUCCCGGCUCCAUGGGAGUGCCAAUUAUUGGUGAGACCUUGGACUUCCUCAAGGCAAGCCCUUCCUUGGACAUCCCAGACUUUUUGAAACUAAGGAUGAAAAGGUACGGCCCAGUUUUCAAGACAAGCUUGCUGGGUCAGCCUGCAGUUAUUUCCACCGACGCAGAGGUCAAUCGAUUUGUGUUUCAGCACGAGGACACCUUGUUCACUAUCGGGUACCCUUGGGUAGUGACUAAGAUAUUCGGUGAGAAGAGCAUCCAAGCCUUCCAUGGCACAAUCCACAAGUUCGUUCAGAGAUGCACCUUCACACUGCUCGGCCUCCAAAGCCUCAGAGAGGUGCUCCUUCCUGAGAUGGAGGGCGCCGUCAGGGAAGGCCUUGCUGCAUGGGCCACCAAGCCGAGCGUCGACGUGCGCGGCGGUGCGCCUGACCUUCUGUUCGAGAUGGUGACGAGGAGGUGCGUUGGUUUCGAUUCCACCAAGUCAAGAGAACUGAGGGACAAGUUCGAUGCGCUUUUCACAGGAUUGUUCUCCUUUCCAAUAUAUUUCCCAGGGACACCAUUUUACCGAUGCAUGCAGGCCAGGAAAAAUGUGCAGAAGAUACUACGGGAUACGUUGGCGGAGAGGUUAAGUACACCAGGGAAGAAACAUGGCGACCUCCUUGACGUAAUUGUCCAAGAGCUGCAGGGUGAAGGGCCGUUAAUAAGUGAGAGUUUUUACGGUACCCUGGUACUCCCUCGGAGCUACACAAUUCCAGCCGGGUGGCAGGUCAUUGUGAACCCCAUGGCAGUUCAUCUCAACGAAGAAUUGUUCGAAGAUCCACUGAAAUUUAACCCAUGGAGGUGGAUGGAUGAGUCAAAGCGCAGCACAAUGUUGAAGAAUUUCUUGCCAUUCGGAGCAGGCAUCAGGGCAUGUCCUGCCGCAGAGUUUGUCAAGCUGUUUGUAUCACUUACCCUCCAUAUUUUGGUGAUGGAGUAUAGAUGGGAUGAAAUGAAAGGAGCUGAUGCAUUUCGUAGCGCGGAUGUUAUGUUCCCGCACGGCUAUCACAUUCGACUCAGAACAAAGGACGGCAAAAUUAAUUGA